rnacentral:rRNA from 1 species
CCUACGGGUUGCACCAGUGGGGAAUAUUGCACAAUGGAGGAAACUCUGAUGCAGCGACGCCGCGUGAGUGAAGAAGUAUUUCGGUAUGUAAAGCUCUAUCAGCAGGGAAGACAGUGACGGUACCUGACUAAGAAGCUCCGGCUAAAUACGUGCCAGCAGCCGCGGUAAUACGUAUGGAGCAAGCGUUAUCCGGAUUUACUGGGUGUAAAGGGAGUGUAGGUGGUAUCACAAGUCAGAAGUGAAAGCCCGGGGCUCAACCCCGGGACUGCUCUUGAAACUGUGGAACUGGAGUGCAGGAGAGGUAAGUGGGAUUCCUAGUGUAGCGGUGAAAUGCGUAGAUAUUAGGAGGAACACCAGUGGCGAAGGCGGCUUACUGGACUGUAGCUGACACUGAGGCUCGAAAGCGUGGGGAGCAAACAGGAUUAGAUACCCGUGUAGUC